rnacentral:misc_RNA from 1 species
AAGUCGUAACAAGGUUUCCGUAGGUGAACCUGCGGAAGGAUCAUUAGAGAAAUUAUUGAGAGUUGAGCUGGCUUUUCACGAAGCAUGUGCUUGCUUUCUAAUUACUUUAUCCAUACACCUGUGCACCUUUGAGGUAGAGUGGAACUUGUUUCUGCCCUCCUCGUUUAUCACAAACUCUUAAUCAAACAUUGAACGUGAAUUAGUGCCUUACGGCCUUAAUCAUUAUACAACUUUUAACAACGGAUCUCUUGGCUCUC